GGAAAACGUGAGAUCAAUGGCACCAUCCAAAUCCCAUCUCGUCUUGCUCCUCGCCGUCGUCCUGAUCGCCGCCACGCCGCAGCCUUCGGCGGCCGUCAGGGACAAGGCCCCUGCCCCUUCCAGCAGCAACGAUGUAGUAGCAAAACCAUCGGCAUGGUGCAUUCCCUGCUUUUCGUUUCUACCCCAGUUAUUCUGUAUACCACCGAUGUUCUGUCCACCAACGCCUAGUGCGCCGCCACCACCAGCGAAGCCGGAGCCGAAAGAGUGUCUACCAUCGCUGAUGGGGUUGAUGCCAUGCAAGGAUUACCUAACCAACAGAACUGCGCCGGAGCCUCCAAAGCAAGGCAAGUGCUGCGAUGGCCUCAGGUCACUCUUCAAGAACGCUCCCGUUUGCACAUGCCGCAUAUCGGACGACGGCGACCUCGACAGGCUCAUGUCGGCACGCCUAGAUGGAGGAAAAUUCCUUCAUCUGUCGGUUAUAUGUGACACCACUAUAGCUCCAAGUGAUUAUCGAUCUUGCCAAGCAGGACCCGUGCCACCCCUGAGGGCCGCACCCGCCCCUGAAGCUGCUUCAUAACUGGUCAAAUCAGAGGCAUGGUCGUAGUAGAAUUACAGAAACAAGUUGGAAGCUAAAAGAUGUCAAGAUCCGUCAGUACCAUUCUUAGAAGAUAUAUAGUGCGAGUUUUCAGUUCGAUUAGGCAGAAUAUGUAGCUUCGUUUGUGUCAAUCUCUGAAUCGUCUUGGAGAAAAUUUAUUGGUUACGGUCGUCAACUAUAUAUUUGGUUAUUUGGUUGUUUAUUGGAAAUAAACUAUUGGGUUAUUUGUGA